rnacentral:rRNA from 1 species
GAUGAACGCUGACAGAAUGCUUAACACGUGCAAGUCAACUUGAACUUCGGUUUGGGUGGCGGACGGGUGAGUAACGCGUAAAGAACUUGCCUCACAGCUAGGGACAACAUUUGGAAACGAAUGCUAAUACCUGAUAUUAUGAUUAUAUGGCAUCGUAUAAUUAUGAAAGCUAUAUGCGCUGUGAGAGAGCUUUGCGUCCCAUUAGCUAGUUGGAGAGGUAACAGCUCACCAAGGCGAUGAUGGGUAGCCGGCCUGAGAGGGUGAUCGGCCACAAGGGGACUGAGACACGGCCCUUACUCCUACGGGAGGCAGCAGUGGGGAAUAUUGGACAAUGGACCGAGAGUCUGAUCCAGCAAUUCUGUGUGCACGAUGAAGUUUUUCGGAAUGUAAAGUGCUUUCAGUUGGGAAGAAAAAAAUGACGGUACCAACAGAAGAAGUGACGGCUAAAUACGUG